GGGCGUGUGACUCAGUUGGUAGAGCGUUCGCUUUGCAUUAGAUUCUGCUUUAGGUACUUGUACCGAGAGUGCUUUCUGGCCCUGCCAGAUUGCGAAGACUUAUCUAUAAAUUCGAAAGGUCCUAAGUUCGAUUCUUAGCUCGUCCA